GUUCACAAGGUUAAGUUCGUUUGUGCCAGUUGUUUACAUGACAUCGAUGGCCACGCCCACUGAAAAUGAUGAUUUCUAAAAACUCCAACUGAAG